CCGCAUGCCUCUGUCUCCCAAGUGCUGGGAUUAAAGCAUGUGCCACCACUGCCUGGCUAGUUAAGUGCCUUUUCAUCCUCCCAGACAUAAUAAGUGACAGCGAUAGGAACAGUGCAGGCAUUUUGUGCCCCGAGCCGGUGUGAUGACCAGGCACACUGUGGGGCUUUACUCACUAGGAGAGUUGGGAAGACCUGAGUCGGUGGUGGCUCUGCUGGGUAGUCACCCCUCAUCAUGCACAGCUGGGUAUCCCUUAAGCAAGCCGUGUAUAGUAGGCUGGAUGGGAGCUCCAUAAAGACUGAGUGAGGUCGAAGACCCCACAUCAUGAAGGAAGGAGGGUCAUGGCACCCCAGGAGGUUGCAAAGAAUGAGUAGACAGAUAAGAUGCCUUUGUUCACCCGCACACAGGCUGCUGGGCAGGCAGAUGCUGACAGGCACCCAGGCACACACAAACCAGCAUGAAUGGGCUGCACACGGGUGGGCACAGGCACACGUGCAGACUGGCACCCAGGCAGAGAUGAGCACACACAGCCCUACAUAGACUAGCAAAGGCAAACAGUGAAGUGAAGGCAUACCCUUCUGCCCUCAAAGCCACGUUUAUACAGAAUCACACAAAAGGAGCACUUUCCCAGCAAUGGAUAAAUAACAGGUUGCAUCACUGCUUACUUUUGGGUCCCCCGGACACACGAUGGCAGUCAUUUUGCACUGACAGUGCCAGGGUGUCUCGUGUCUGCCAUCUUGGCCCGCUCCAGACAUUCAUAUCAAUGCCAUGUUGUCUAAACAUGAACUGGCUUGAACAUCCCUCUGUUCCAUCUAGAUGCCGAAGAGAGUGAGGCUCUCUACAAGGCCUUCUGUGCCUUCAGGAGAGGACGUGGUCAGCGCACAGGAAGGGUCCGUGGGAUCGUUCCAAGGGCUGAUGAGGCUCCUUUCACUAGAGAGUAAGCCUCCUCCAUGAAGCCUCUCCUGCUCCCCUCAAAGGAUUGAAGAAUGAACUUUUGCCAGAUCCCUACAUUGUCAUCACACUGUCUUGUCACAGCUGAGCACAGACAACAGAGACAGCUAAGAGCUGUAGAGGGAGACAGACAAAAUGGAGACCCGGGCAAGGAGAGCAGGCAUGGUCGGAAGGCAUCAAGAUAGAGCUUGGUCGAAGUUAUUCAUCUGGUAAGAGAGAUGGGAAGGUGGACUGUCCUACCUGUCCUGGAAGCACACAGAGGAAGUGAAACAGCUCCAGCAAAGACAGAUAGGGCAGAGAGUGAGCAUCUUUAGAAUUUCAAGAACGUGGGCAUGCUUUAGCAACUACGGAGUGAGCCCUUCAGUACAGUUCCUCACACUUGAUUUUGAACACACUGCCAGCUUCAGACCAUGAGGAAACAGAUGAGGCUGGGAAUCACAUUGUCAAUGACAAUGGACACUCUGGUAUAGCCUGAAAGUUCUCACACAUGCUGAUGACACUGGACCAGCUACCAAGUGAGUGUUCCCUGAUGCAUCAAGAGACGCAAACAGCUGCAAGCAGGCACGGAAGAAAAUGCCUUCAACAUUUGUUUCAUUGGCACUGACCCACAGCUGGAAUUUCCCAGUCUGCCCUCUGUACUCACACCACUGACCACCAGAGCAGCAAGAAACACAUCGGCUAGAGACUGGCCUGGAUACUAGUUCAUCUGGCUUCUGUGCUACCAUUCCACAAGGCAUCCGAAAUAAACCAGGCUCUGUGCAAAGACAGAUGUCCUAGACAACUUCCUUCUCACUCCUCACUCCGUUUCUUCCUCACUUCUGGCCGCCAUCAUUGCACCUAAGAGACCCCAGCAGUCCAGUGUUCCCAGCCCCAGGAAUUCUCCAUAUUAUUGGUAGAAUAAAAUUUCCAGUACACUUCA